GCCACGCAGUGAGUGGCCUGCUCUCGGUGGAGGGAUGUAAGGCUGCAUUUGAUUGGCUGGGACAUUUCCUGGCUACUAAUCUUUUGUUCCGCACAAGCAGGCAGAAGUGCAGUGGACAUAGAGGGAGAGAAGCUAGGCCCAAACUAUUCCUCAAACUGAUCUGCAAAGGCAAAAACACAUUGCUCUACAGAUGAUGUAGCCAAAGAGGCAGAGGCAAUGAACUUCAGAGUUUACUCAACAACAACUCUCUAUUCUUCAAAUAAGCUGUCCUUGUAAACUUUUUGAGCCCUGACGCCCUCCCCAACAGUUUAAAUUCUACACUGGUGUGCCUGAGAGAUCACCAUGGAGACAGGUUCUACACCAUCUUCAGUGGCUCUUCUACUGAGAGCAGUUGUGGUUCCCCAUGUCUACUGGCUAUCAACUAAAUACUGUUAGACAUCAUUUUACACUGUUCCCCAGCUAUAUCUGGCUGGUGUGUAAAGGUUUACCUACAUGUUUAGUAUCCCCCACAUGACAGACGACUCCCCUCGGUGUUGUCUGGUUGUAAUGGUGAGGUUUGAGAAAAUGUAUGCAUGACUGGGAAUCAUGUGUUCAAUUAAUCCUGCUCAAAAUAAUUCAUCAGUCUACCAUGUUAUCUACAUUGAGCAAUUGUAUCUGUAUGGACGAUUCCCUUAUGGCUAUGAAAUGCACAUGAAAGGAGUCCAGUAAUGUUGGCCAUAUCAAAGAUAAUAUCAGUCAUAGUAAAGGUAGCGUGUGC